rnacentral:other from 1 species
GCGGGGCUGCGGGGUACGUGAGGACAAUGAAUCCCCGGGGCCUUAUCGAUCCUAACGGGAGCUGUUCCUGUCCUCGCCCGUGGGCUUGGACAAACGGCGCCCACCUACGCUGUAGGUUUCCCGGGAUCGAUCGUCCCACGGCCACUGUGGCUCCGCG